rnacentral:tRNA from 1 species
CAGAGUGUAGCUUAAGUAGGAAAGCAUCUCCCUUACACUGAGAAGACUCCUGUGCAAACCAGGACACACUGA